GUUCUCGUGGAGUAAAGUAACUCACUCCCAACCAAUAGUUCGUUGCGUAUGAAAUUUCCGGGAGAGUCGGUGGUUCGAACCCACCCGAGGACA